CUACGGGAGGCAGCAGUGGGGAAUAUUGGACAAUGGGGGAAACCCUGAUCCAGCAAUGCCGCGUGUGUGAAGAAGGCCUGCGGGUUGUAAAGCACUUUCGGUUGGGAGGACUGCUUCUAGCACUAAUAUUGUUGGAAGUUGACGUUACCUUCAGAAGAAGCACCGCCUAACUCCGUGCCAGCAGCCGCGGUAAUACGGAGGGUGCAAGCGUUAAUCGGAAUUACUGGGCGUAAAGCGCGCGUAGGCGGCUAGAUCAGUCGGGUGUGAAAGCCCCGGGCUUAACCUGGGAACUGCAUCCGAUACUGUCUAGCUUGAGUACAGGAGAGGGGAGUGGAAUUCCACAUGUAGCGGUGAGAUGCGUAGAUAUGUGGAGGAACACCAAUGGCGAAGGCAGCUCUCUGGCCUGAUACUGACGCUGAGGUGCGAAAGCGUAGGGAGCAAACAGGAUUAGAUACCCCGGUAGUC
rnacentral:rRNA from 1 species